ACCUUCUCACAAUGAGGCUCCCUGCUCAACUCCUGGGGCUGUUAAUGUUCUGGGUCCCUGGAUCCAGUGAGAACAUUGGGAUGACCCAGAUUCCACUCUCCCUGCCUGUCACCCUUGGAGAGCCAGCCUCCAUCUCCUGCAGGUCUAGUCAGAACCUCAUGGAUAGUGACCAUGGAUUCACCUAUUUGUAUUGGUACCUGCAGAAGCCAGGCCAGUCUCCACAGCUCCUGAUCUAUUUUGUUUCCUACCGGGCCUCUGGAGUCCCAGACAGGUUCAGUGGCAGUGGGUCAGGCACUGAUUUCACACUGGAAAUCAGCAGGGUGGAGGCUGAGGAUGUUGGGUUUUAUUACUGCAUGCAAAGAUUGCAGCUCCUCACCAGCAAUGGAUCAAAGCUAGAUGGAGAAUGACUUUGAUGAGCUGGCAGAAGAAGGCUUCAGAAGGUCAGUAGUAACAAACUUCUCUGAGCUAAAGAAGGAUGUUUGAACCCAUUGCAAAGAAUCUGAAAACCUUGAAAAAUGACUAGAUGAAUGACUAACUAGAACAAAUAGUGUAGAGAAGACCUUAAAUGACCUGAUGGGGCUGAAAACCAUGGCAUGAGAACUACGUGGUACACGCACAAGCUUCAAUAGCUGAUUGGAUCAAGUGGAAGAAAGGGUAUCAGUGAUUGAAGAUCAAAUUAAUGAAAUGAAGCAAGAAGAGAAGUUUAGAGGAAAAAAGAGUAAAAAGAAAUGAACAAAGCCUCCAAGAAAUAUGGGACUAUGUGAAAAGGCCAAAUCUACAUUUGAUUGGUGUACCUCAAAGUGACAGGGAGAAUGGAACCAAGUUGGAAAAUCCUCUUCAGGAUAUUAUCCAGGAGAACUUCCCCAACCUAGCAAGGCCGGCCAACAUUCAAAUUCAGGAAAUACAGAGAACACCACAAAGAUACUCCUUGAGAAGAGCAACCCAAAGACACAUAAUUGUCAGAUUCACCAAGGUUGAAAUGAAGGAAUAAAUGUUAAGGACAGCCAGAGAGAAAGGUCGGGUUACCCACAAAGGAAAGCCCAUCAGACUAACAGCAGAUCUCUCAGCUGAAACUCAACAAGCCAGAAGAGAAUGGGGGCCAAUAUUCAACAUUCUUAAAGAAAAGCAUUUUCAACCCAGAAUUUCAAAUCCAGCCAAACUAACCUUCAUAAAUGAAGGAGAAAUAAAAUCCUUUACAGACAAGGAAAUGCUGAGAGAUUUUGCACCACCAGGCCUGCCUUACCAGAGCUCCUGAAGGAAGCACUAAACAUGGAAAGGAACAACCGGUACCAGUCACUGCAAAAACAUGCCAAAUUGUAAAGAACAUCAAUGCUAGGAAGAAACUACAUCAACUAACGGGCAAAAUAACCAGCCAACAUCAUAAUGACAGGAUCAAAUUCACACAUAACUAUAUUAAUCUUAAAUGUAAAUGGGCUAAAUGCUCCAAUUAAAAGACACAGACUGGCAAAUUGGAUAAAGAGUCAAGACCCAUCAGUGUGCAGUAUUCAAGAGACCCAUCUCACGUGCAGAGACACACAUAAGCUCAAAAUAAAGGGAUGGAGGAAGAUCUACCAAGCAAAUGGAAAGCAAAAAAAAAAAAAAAAAAAAAAGCAAUGGUUGUAAUCCUACUCUCUGAUAAAAUAGACUUUAAGCCAAAAAAGAUCAAGAGACAAAGAAGGCCAUUACAUAAUGGUAAAGGGAUCAAUUCAACAAGAAGAGCUAGCUAUCCUAAACAUAUAUGCACCCAAUACCUAAACAUAUAGGCACCGAGAUUCAUAAAGCAAGUCCUUAGAGAACUACAAGGAGACUUAGACACACAAUAAUAAUGGGAGACCUCAACACCCCACUGUCAAUAUUAUACAGAGCAAUGAGACAGAAGGUUAACAAGGAUAUCCAGGACUUGAACUCAGCUUUGCACCAAGUGGACCUAAUAGACAUCUACAGAACUCUCCACCCCAAAUCAACAGAAUAUACAUUCUUCUCAGCACCACAUCACACUUAUUCCAAAAUUGACUACAUAGUUUGAAGUAAAGCACUCCUCAUCAAAUAUAAAAGAAAUCACAACAAACUGUCUCUCAGACCACAGUGCAAUCAAAUUAGAACUCAGGAUUAAGAAACUCACCAAAACUGCACAACUACAUGGAAACUGAAGAACCUGCUCCUGAAUGACUACUGGGUAAAUAAUGAAAUGAAGGCAGGAAUAAAUAUGUUCUUUGAAACCAAUGAGAACAAAGACACAAGGUACUAGAAUCUCUAGGACACAUUUGAAGCAGUGUGUAGAGGGGAAUUUAUAGCACUAAAUGCCCGCAAGAGAAAGCAGGAAAGAUUUAAAACUGACACUCUAACAUCACAAUUAGAAGAUCUAGAGAAGCAAGAGCAAACAAAUUCAAAAGCUAGCAGAAGGCAAGAAAUAACUAAGAUCAGAGCAGAACUGAAGGAGAUAGACUCAAGAAAAACCCUUCAAAAAAUCAGUGAAUCCAGGAGCUGGUUUUCUGAAAAGCUCAACAAAAUUGAUAGACCGCUAGCAGGACUAAGAAAGAAUAAAAGAGAGAAGAAUCAAAUAGACACAAUAAAAAAUGGUAAAGGGGAUAUCACCACCAAUCUCACAGAAAUACAAACUACCAACAGCAAAUGCUAUAAAUACCUCUAUGCAAAUAAACUAGAAAAUCUAGAAGAAAUGGAUACAUUCCUGGGCACAUACACUCUCCUAAAACUAAACCACGAGGAAGUUGAAUCCCUGAAUAGACCAAUAUCAGGCUCUGAAAUUGAGCCAAUAAUUAAUAGCCUACCAAUGAAGAAAAGUCCAGGACCAGACAAAUUUACAGCCGAAUUCUACCAGAGGUACAAAGAGGGGCUGGUACCAUUCCUUCUGAAACUACUCCAAUCAAUAGAAAAAGAGGGAAUCCUCUCUAACUCAUUUUAUGAGGCCAGCAUCAUCCUGAUACCAAAGCCUGGCAGAGACAUAACAAAAAAAGAGAAUAUUAACCAAUAUCCCUGAUGAACAUCGAUGCGAAAAUCCUCAAUAAAAUACUGGCAAACUGAAUACAGCAGCACAUCAAAAGCUUAUCCACGAUGAUCAAGUUGGCUUCAUCUCUGGGAUGCAAGGCUGGUACAACAUACGCAAAUCAAUAAACAUAAUCCAUCACAUAAACAGAACCAAAGACAAAAACCACAUGAUUAUCUCAAUAGAUGCAGAAAAUGCCUUUGAGAAAAUUCAACAGUGCUUCAUGCUAAAAACUCUCAAUAAACUAGGUAUUGAUGGAAUGUAUCACAAAAUAAUAAGAGCUAUUUAUGACAAACACACAGCCAAUAUCAUACUGAAGGGGCAAAAACUGGAAGCAUUCCCUUUGAAAACUGGCACAAGACAGGGGUGCCCUCUCUCACCACUCCUAUUCAAAAUAGUGUUUGAAGUUCUGGCCAGGGCAAUCGGCCAGGAGAAAGAAAUAAAGGGUAUUCAAUUAGGAAAAGAGGAAGUCGAAUUGUCCCUGUUUGCAGAUGACAUGAUUGCAUAUUUACAAAACUUCACCAUCUCAGCCCCAAAUCUCCUUAGGCUGAUAAGCAACUUCAGCAAAGUCUCAAGGUACAAAGUCAAUGUGCAAAAGUCACAAGCAUUCCUAUACACCAGUAACAGACAAACAGAGAGACAAAUCAUAAGUGAACUGCCAUUCACAAUUGCUACAAAGAGAAUAAAAUAUCUAGGAAACCAGCUCACAAGGGUUGUGAAGGACCUCUUCAAGGAGAACUACAAACCACUGCUCAACAAAAUAAAACAGGACACAAAGGGAACAACAUUACACUCUCAUGAUUAGAGAGAAUCAAUACCGUGAAAAUGGCCAUACCGCCCAAGGUAAUUUAUAGAUUCAAUGCCAUCCCCAUCAAGCUAUCAAUGACCUUCUUCAAAGAAUUGGAAAAAAACUACUUUAAAAUUUACAUGGAACCAAAAAGGAGUCUGCAAUGCCAAGUCAAUCCUGAGCAAAAAGAACAAAGCUGGAGGCAUCAUGCUACCUGACUUCAAACUAUACUACAUGGCUACAGUAACCAAAACAGCAUAGUACUGGUACCAAAACAGAGAUACAGACCAAUGGAAUAGAACAGAGGCCUCAGAAAUAAUACCACACACCUACAACCAUCAGAUCUUUGACAAACCUGACAAAAACAAAUGGGGAAAGGAUUCCCUAUUUAAUAAAUGGUGCUGGGAAAACUGACUAGACGUAUGUAGAAAGUUGAAAUUGGAUCCCUUCCUUACACCUUAUACAAAAAUUAAUUCAAGAUGGAUUAAAGACUUAAAUUUUAGACCUAAAACCAUAAAAACCCUAGAAGAAAACCUAGGCACUACCAUUCAGGACAUAGGCAUGGGCAAGGACUUCAUGACUAAAACACCAAAAACAAUGGCAACAAAAGCCAUAAUUGACAAAUGGGAUCUAAUUAAACUAAAGAGCUUCUGCACAGCAAAAGAAACUACCAUCAGAGUGAACAGGCAACCUACAGAAUGGGAGAAAAAUUUUGCAAUCUACCCAUCUGAUAAAGGGCUAAUAUCCAGAAUCUACAAAGAAUUUAAAGAAAUUUACAAGAAAAAAUCAAACAGCCCCAUCAAAAAGUGGGCAAAGGAUAUGAACAGACACUUCUCAAAAGAAGAUAUUUAUGCAGCCAACAGACACAUGAAAAAAUGCUCAUCAUCACUGGCCAUCAGAGAAAUGCAAAUCAAAACCACAAUGAGAUACCAUCUCACACCAGUUAGAAUGGUGAUCAUUAAAAAGUCAAGAAACAACAGAUGCUGGAGAGGAUGUGGAGAAAUAGGAAUGUUUUUACACUGUUUGGUGGGAGUGUAAACUAGUUCAACCAUUGUGGAAGACAGUGUGGCAAUUCCUCAAGGAUCUAGAACUAGAAAUACCAUUUGACCCAACCUUCCCAUUACUGGGUAUAUACCCAAAAGAUUAGAAAUCAUGCUUCUAUAAAGACACAUGCACACGUAUGUUCAUUGCAGCACUAUUCACAAUAUCAAAGACUUGGAACCAACACAAAUGUCCAUCAAUGAUAGACUGGAUUAAGAAAAUGUGGCACAUAUACACUAUGGAAUACUAUGCAGCCAUAAAAAGGAUGAGUUCAUGUGUUUUGUAGGGACAUGGAUGAAGCUGGAAACCAACAUUCUGAGCAAACUAUCCAAGGACAGAAAACCAAACACCACAUGUUCUCACUCAUAGGUGGGAAUUGAACAAUGAGAACACUUGGACAAAAUGUGGGGAAUAUCACACA